UGUAGUUUUUUCAAUUUUCAUCAAAAUCGAGUCAACCAAAAUGGAUAUUAUUCCUCAAGAGAAUUAGUUAUGAUCCCCGGAGAUCCUGCGGAGAUCUCAACGAUUCCUAGUGUGAAAAAGUAUAGAGAAUGUGAAACCGUUGGCAUCGCCUACUCGUUUUUGCUCCAUUGGUCAAAAAUACGCAUUCUUUGAAGCAGUGUUCUGUCGACUCGGUCGGAGCCUCGUGGCCCGCCUCGUGGGAUUAGUGUAGCGGGGCGACGCAGACAACGUCAUUCAUCGAAACGACGUCGAUGAUGAGAAUUCAGAUAGCGAUUAGAAUUCGGGCUUUUGGACCACUGUGC
rnacentral:lncRNA from 1 species